rnacentral:rRNA from 1 species
GCAGCAGCUAAGAAUAUUGCACAAUGGACGAAAGUCUGAUGCAGCGACACCGCGUGAGGGAUGAAGGUUUUAGGAUUGUAAACCUCUUUUAUUAGGGAAUAGCAAGGAAGGUACCUAAUGAAUAAGGUACGGCUAACUACGUGCCAGCAGCCGCGGUAAUACGUAGGUACCGAACGUUGUCCGGAAUCACUGGGCGUAAAGGGUCCGUAGGCGGUUUGAUAAGUCUCAUAUGAAAACUUCAAGCUCAACUUGGAGAGGUUGUGAGAUACUGUCAAACUAGAGACUGUUAGAGGUAAGUGGAAUUCCAGGUGUAGUGGUGAAAUGCGUAGAUAUCUGGAGGAACACCAGUGGCGAAAGCGACUUACUGGGACAGUUCUGACGCUAAGGGACGAAAGCGUGGGGAGCGAACCGGAUUAGAUACCCGGGUAGUCCACGCCGUAAACGAUGAUUGCUAGGUUUUCGGGGCAUCGACCCCUCGUGAGCCGAAGUUAACGCGUUAAGCAAUCCGCCUGAGUAGUACGGCCGCAAGGCUAAAACUCAAAGAAAUUGACGGGGGACCGCACAAGCAGCGGAGCGUGUGGUUUAAUUCGAUGGUAAGCGAAGAACCUUACCAGGGUUUGACAUGUAAGUAGUACUGAACCGAAAGGGGAUGGACCCGCAAGGGAGCUUACACAGGUGUUGCAUGGUUGUCGUCAGCUCGUGCCGUGAGGUGUUGGGUUAA